GGCUCACACAAUUAAAAAAAAAAGGAAAAAAUGAAAAAAAAAAAGAGAAGAAUAGAAACACGUGAACAGAAAAGGGGCACAAAUAUAAAAAGAGAAAAGGCAUAGGCAUAAAAAUAAAACAGAAGAUUGAUAUAGAGAAAGUGACGAACAGGAAAAAAAAAAUCCUCAUUAUCAUCUUCUUCUUUUCUUCACUCACCAUUAAGCACCAACUCCACUGUUUUCCGCCAGCAGCCACCACUUCCAUCACUUUAUCAUCAUCAUCAGCCGCAACACACACUACACUUAGACCUCACACACCUACACCACAAUAAUCCUACACUAAUUGGCCGCAUCACACAAUUUUUUGGGCUUGACCUCCACCUCCUUCAUAAACCCAAGAACUGAUUCCUUUAUUUUUCAAUCAUGGGAUAAAUAAAUCGUCCUAAUAGCCUACAGCCAAAAAAAAACAUAACCAUCUAAAAACACCUAAUAGCUAGAAUAUGUGAAAAACGGGAGUAACUAGAGAAAAAAGGAAAGGAAGAACCUAAGCUUCUCUUUUUUUUUUUUUUAUAUCCACCAUGUGAGAGUCUCAAACAGCCAUGAAACAACUGAGAAAUUAACCAUCACCAAAUAACCGUGGUCGAUCCCCAAAGUUCAAGGUCAGUCGAGGUUGUCGAGUUCCGAUGAGGUGAGGUUUUUCAGUCGAGGUCUCUAUUCUGGGUUUUCGCUCAAAGUUCACGGUUGAAAGCCCAUUUGAGGUUGUAUCUGGUGUCUAGAAUCUUUUAAACAAAGAAAAUUUGCUUCAUUGAAAGAUUGUUAGAGCUAUUCUCGGAAAUCAAAAGAACAAGACAAUGUCGCACUUGAUAUAUAUGCUAAUGUCACCUAUGAAUACAUUCUUUUAAAGAUUUGGUAAACUUCUCCAUUUGAAGAUGCUAUAAGUUUGUCUGAAUUUCAGAAUUAUGAAGUUGGUUUAGAGGCAGAAGUAGUUCUUCUAGAUCUGUUGAGACAAGCAAAAGUCUCCUAACAUGGUGAGCUACCCGAGUAGAAGGCCUUCAUUGAAAGGCAGAUUGAGCAGCCUAGAUCAAAAGCCUCACCAGGUGAACUGUUGAAGGAUCCAAAAUCCUCUUUGAUGUUGUCAAUUACUUUGAUAAUGAUGUUAGUUGCUUAAUAUGGUUUGCUAUCAUUAUGUAUCAUGACUAAUCUGUGUCCUCUCUUGAUUGGUAAUUUAGAGUAUCAACUAUGACAUUUUUAAUUGUCAUUUUAGUCACUGCUUUAGGUAAUUCUUGAUUGGUUAUGUGAAAUUUCAACUAGAAAUGUUUAUUUAAAAGAUAAAAAGGUAAUAAAAUGAACAACAAGCAAAAAAGUGAAAGAAAAGAAUCAUAUAUAUCAUAUAUAUAUAUAUAUAUAUAUAUAUAUAUAUAUAUAUAUAUAUAUAUAGGACAAAGGCCCGCUGACGUAGCAUGCCUCAUUGAUCAGAAAACCUAUUUAUCUAUUUUCUCAGGUUUUUGCCUUUUCCCUUUUAUCUAAAAGCCUACUUUUCUUUAAUGGUUGUCCCCAAAGGGACACCAUUUUAAACACCUUAAUUAAUAACGCUGUUUCACUUCCUCUUACCCUGGGUCUCAACAAUCAACAAUCAACAAAGUGGACUCGAAUAGAUACUCCAGUAAGGGACAGAUGAAUGCAGAGAACCUUCAUUAUAGAGCUCCUUCUUCAUGUUCUUUCUUCCCAAUACCUUACAGCGAGUCUUCGACUUUUCAGAUGAUGUAUGUAAAAAAGACUCUGCAUGCGUCCUUAUUUACUUCGGUGCCAGUUUCAAUACAUGGAGUUUUCAGUUCUGCAACGGAGAAGAAGCACACGACCGCAUUGCAGGAAUAGAGUUCACCUGUAGGAUAUAACCAUCAAGCUAAUCAGUGCAAGGAGCAGGGUGAGCUAAUUAUUGCAGAACAGUAACUACGUUAUGCAAGGAAAGAAAUUAACCAGGCUGUACAUCAGGUGAGAGAAGUCGCCAACAUACAUUCAAGUAUGUAGCGCACUCUAUUCUGGACAUUCUUAGCCUUGAGUUGAUCGAUCUGGUUCUAAUUAUAUCUAAUUUGUGGUGUCUUCUGGAUGAUGAUUAAAGAAGAAAGAGAGCAAAAAAAGAGCCACGAGAAAAGAACUAUGAACACUUUGAAAAGUUAUGCUAUGGAAUAAGCAGAAGAACAAAAAAGAGUACUGCAAUGAACAAUCUGAAAACAGUAGUGGAUAAACACAACAUCAUUGACAGGUACGAGACACAAAAUGAGGAAUGCCAGAAUAUUGGUGAUAUGCAUUCUUCUACUGAUGAGGAUAAGAGAGCAAAGGCACAAGAGAAUACUGGGAAACAAGAUAUGUUGCUCCCGACUAGCCUCAAUACUGCUAAUGGACAAAAUAAAGGUGGCAUGACCAUGGUAGACUUGGGUUCCAUAUAAGUUAUACUUAACACCGGACUGAACCAAAUGCAUGGCCCUGACAUCCAAAAUGUCAUUGAACAACUGGUGGUGGAGAGUGAUGAGGACAGUGUUUCAAUGGAGCAUAUACAGAUGAUGAUGAAAAGGUAGCGGACAGUUUGGUACAAACAUUUGCACUUACAUCCAUUGAAGAUGAUUUAAGGCGCAGUUCGGUUCGUCGAAGUGGGGGAUAAGAAUUUUGGAUGUUUAAAAUACAGGAAUAACCACUGUCUAGUCCCUUCCAUGAGCAAGAAAUUGGGACACCCACUGGAUAUUUUUAUGUUAAUUCGAAAACAUCAAAGUAAAUCCAAAAUGAAUUUACCUGGUACUGGA